CUACGGGAGGCAGCUUUUGGGGAAUAUUGGACAAUGAGCGAAAGCCUGAUCCAGCANUGCCGCGUGAGUGAUGAAGGCCUUAGGGUUGUAAAGCUCUUUUACCCGGGAUGAUAAUGACAGUACCGGGAGAAUAAGCCCCGGCUAACUCCGUGCCAGCAGCCGCGGUAAUACGGAGGGGGCUAGCGUUGUUCGGAAUUACUGGGCGUAAAGCGCACGUAGGCGGCCUUUUAAGUCAGGGGUGAAAUCCCGGGGCUCAACCCCGGAACUGCCCUUGAAACUGGGAGGCUAGAAUCUUGGAGAGGCGAGUGGAAUUCCGAGUGUAGAGGUGAAAUUCGUAGAUAUUCGGAAGAACACCAGUGGCGAAGGCGACUCGCUGGACAAGUAUUGACGCUGAGGUGCGAAAGCGUGGGGAGCGAACAGGAUUAGAUACCCUGGUAGUCCACGCCGUAAACGAUGAUAACUAGCUGUCCGGGUUCAUGGAACUUGGGUGGCGCAGCUAACGCAUUAAGUUAUCCGCCUGGGGAGUACGGUCGCAAGAUUAAAACUCAAAGGAAUUGACGGGGGCCUGCACAAGCGGUGGAGCAUGUGGUUUAAUUCGAAGCAACGCGCAAAACCCUACCAGCCUUUGACAUCCUGGGACGGCUUCUGGAGACAGAUUCCUUCCCUUCGGGGACCUAGAGACAGGUGCUGCAUGGCUGUCGUCAGCUCGUGUCGUGAGAUGUUGGGUUAAGUCCCGCAACGAGCGCAACCCUCAUCCUUAGUUGCCAUCAUUCAGUUGGGCACUUUAAGGAAACUGCCGGUGAUAAGCCGGAGGAAGGUGGGGAUGACGUCAAGUCCUCAUGGCCCUUACAGGCUGGGCUACACACGUGCUACAAUGGCAACUACAGUGGGCAGCUAUCCCGCGAGGGUGCGCUAAUCUCCAAAAGUUGUCUCAGUUCGGAUUGUUCUCUGCAACUCGAGAGCAUGAAGGCGGAAUCGCUAGUAAUCGCGGAUCAGCAUGCCGCGGUGAAUACGUUCCCAGGCCUUGCACACACCGCCCGUCA
rnacentral:rRNA from 1 species